rnacentral:rRNA from 1 species
GAUGAACGCUGGCGGCGUGCCUAAUACAUGCAAGUCGAGCGAACAGACGAGGAGCUUGCUCCUCUGACGUUAGCGGCGGACGGGUGAGUAACACGUGGAUAACCUACCUAUAAGACUGGGAUAACUUCGGGAAACCGGAGCUAAUACCGGAUAAUAUAUUGAACCGCAUGGUUCAAUAAUGAAAGACGGUUUUGCUGUCACUUAUAGAUGGAUCCGCGCCGCAUUAGCUAGUUGGUAGGGUAACGGCUUACCAAGGCAACGAUGCGUAGCCGACCUGAGAGGGUGAUCGGCCACGCUGGAACUGAGACCCGGUCCAGACUCCUACGGGAGGCAGCAGUAGGGAAUCUUCCGCAAUGGGAGAAAGCCUGACGGAGCAACGCCGAGUGAGUGAUGAAGGUCUUCGGAUCGUAAAACUCUGUUAUUAGGGAAGAACAAAUGUGUAAGUAACUAUGCACGUCUUGACGGUACCUGAGCAGAAAGCCACGGCUAACUACGUG